UCAGAUGUCUCGUGAGCAUGGCAGCCUGAUAUCGAUGGUCACCUGACUCUACUUCAGCGCUACGAGUUGAACUGAGAUUUAUGGGAAACGAAGUUUUUAAACAACUCAUUUUAUUAGCGCAUGAAGAGUGCGCAACCGCCUACCAAAUAAAGCACCUCAAUCAACGGAGAACAUGUCGCAGGUCCAGGUCUACAUAAAGAAUGGACUCCACUGCCUGACGAAGCCGCCAUUUUCGGCACCCAUAGAAUUCAGCAGUUUCUGUGGAAUUUCCUCCCUCCAACUAUAGGAGAGGCGUGAGGGUCUCCUGCAGCUGGAUGAGAGGUGUUGAGAGAGGAAGGCAGAGAGGGAGGAUAGUAAAGA